UAAGACUAUUUUUAAGAUUACAGAAAGAUUUUAUUGGCUAGGCAUAAAGAAAGAUGUCAUGAAAUGGAUAAGUGAAUGUGAUAAAUGUCAAAGAUCCCAGAAGAUAAAAACUGUAGGACAACUUUUGAAACCAAUUAAGACUGAAGGCCCUUGGCAGAUGGUUGGUGUAGACUUAAUAGGCCCCCUAACAGAGAGCCAAUCAGGCAACAAGUACAUCCUCACUUUGACAGAUUUAUGGUCCAAAUUCAUAGAGGCAUUUCCAUUCCCUUCAAAAUCUGCUGAUCUUGUUUGUGAUGUGUUACAGAGUAUUUUUUACCGUUUUGGUCCCCCAGAGAAAAUUUUAACUGAUCAGGGAAAGGAAUUCUGCAAUAGAUUAAAUGAUCAGCUCUUUUCCAUUUUUGGAGUAAAGCACUUAGUUACACUUGCAUACCACCCCCAGACUAAUGGUCAAGAUGAAAGAACCAACCAGAUGCUGAAGGCUGUUUUGACUAAAUUAGUCAAUGAAAAUCAAGAUGACUGGGACAGACAUUUAGAGGUUGCUUUAUUUGGUAUCAGAACUUCAGUGCAAGCUUCUACAAAGUAUUCCCCCUUUUUCUUGAUGUUUGGUAGACAGCCAAGACUGUUCAUUGAACUUCAAGAAAAUGAUAAUGAAGAAUCCAGUAUUUUAGAGUUCCCAAAUUUGAAUCCAUCUGAUGAUGCAAUAGAAUCUAGAAUCAACUCUAUCAAAGCUGUCAAAGAAAAAGUUGACAAUAAUAUUGCUGAAGCUCAAGCUAAACAAAAAAGUAUUAUGAAAUGAGGAAGACCAAAGGAUAUAAGUCAUUCAACUUCAAAAUUGGAAUGAAAGUUCUUAUAAAGAAUAAUAAAAAGCAAGGAAGGAAAGGUUCCCGGCUUGAGGAGGACUGGCUCGGACCUUAUGACAUACACAGUAUCUUAGAUAACUGUGUUCACAUUAAACCAUAUAAAUUGCCCAGUUUUGCACAGAAGCAUGCACAAGUUUGUGACCAAAUAUUGCUGCCAUCAGCUGCAAGAAAUGGUUCUCCCAUAUUUUCUGUCUUUUCAGAAUCCACGGCAUCUGGAGAGGAGCCUCAAGGCAACUCUUCCCCACCUACAGACCGUGGUGAUGUGGGGCAGCAGCCUGACAUGCUCCUUUCUAAAGGGUCACAGCAUGUCACAACAUUGCCCGUCACCACUGUUGAAUCCACGGCAUCUGGGGAGAAGCCUCGAGGCAACUCUUCCCCACCUACAGACCGUGGUGAUGUGAGGCAGCAGCCUGACAUGCUCCUUUCUAAAGGGUCACAGCAUGUCACAUCACUGCCCGUCACCACUGUUGAAUCCACGGCAUCUGGGGAGAAGCCCCAAGGCAACUCUUCCCCACCUACAGACCGUGGUGUGGGGCAGCAGCCUGACAUGCUCCUUUCUAAAGGGUCACAGCAUGUCACAUCACUGCCCAUCACCACUGUUGACUGCAAGCCAACAACACUGACGAGGAAAAGAAAGAUUGUUGACAAGAAAUCAACCACCAAGCGCCAAUGUCAUCACUCUAUCCAACCAGUGCAUCCUCUGAAGCCUCUUGAGAUGCAUUCCAGCUCAAAAAAUUAAGAGGAAAUAUCAAGGAUUCUUUCCUCUUCCUAUGAAUGGCUAGGUUACCAUAUGAGGAUGGUGACAGCAUGAUGGAAUGUGAUCGCUGCAAAAGGUGGUACCAUCAAGAGUGCGAGAACAUUUCAUCUUACCGUUGGCAGAAAUUGGAAGAAUCCAGCAUAGCAUACGUGUGCAGUGUGUGUCACCAAUCUUCAAGAACAAGGCGUGUUACAGAUUAUUGAUAAGUCACAAUUAUCACUGCAUGAAUUUCCUAGUUUUACUUGAUGGGAGUGACAAGAGUGGAAUCCCAGCACAGCACAGCCAGCAUGUCAGCCAUAAAGAGUAUCACCAAGGAAUGCAUAUCAAUAAAAGGGCUACAAAGUGUACUACAAGCCUACAACAAAAAUUAAAGAUAUAUCAAUCGAAAUAACAGCACAAAAUAAAUAGGUGGUCAUUCAUAAAGUCAGUCAAUCUUUUUUUAAAGUAUUGAAUCAGCUUCUGCCACAUAGAUGGGAAAUGAAUUCCAGUCUUUCACCACAGGAUCAUCAUACAAUCCUUACAAUCAUCAUAAAUUAUUGUAAGGAACAAAGAUUUUAUAAUGAUGUGCCA